rnacentral:lncRNA from 1 species
GUAACCAACAAAUUGAGCAUCCGUCCGAUAACAUGGUAGACUGCAAUGUGAAAAGUGGUAACUUAGUACAUUAGUUAUUUGGAAUGCAAUAUUUUUCAAUCUGUAUGAAAUUUUAGUUAAUUAAAUAUUUGAAUCUGAGAUAUUUAAUUGCUCAAAUACAGGAAUGGAGGUUUACUCAUCCGAGUGCGUUAGUGAUGAUUGUUUCGCUGAUGAUAGGUUGGGAGUAGAAACUGAGAUUUUCGUUCCGAAGGUUGGUAUGAAAUUUGACAGUGAGAAGGAGUUAUUUGAAUUCUACAAGAAGCAUGCUUGCGAAAUAGGGUUCCCUGUUAGAAAAAGAAACUCUAAGAAGGGUGAUGAUUGGGUUGUUCGAUACGUGAGCUUUACUUGUAGUUGAGAAGGUCGACGGAAGACUAAUAGAAGUACUUCUUUAAAUCCUCCGCCAACGAUUGAAAUAGGGUACAGAGCUAGGUUGACAACGUGUUCUGAUGCUCGUGGAAUAUGGCAAAUAAACGUUGUGCAGUUAGAACAUAACCAUAAGAUAAGCCCAUCUAAAUCUAGGUUACAUCGAUGCAUUCGAGAACUUAGUGCACACGUUAAAAAACGGCUUGAGGUCAAUGACAUAGCAGGGAUCCCAUUGCAUAAAAGCUAUAACUCAACUGUAGUGGAGGCGGGUGGAUUCCAGAACAUGACUUGUGUUGAGAAAGACUGUAGGAAUUUCAUUGAUAAAGUACGGCAUUUAAGACUUGGUGAAGGAGAUGCUGCUGCAUUACAGAGUUACUUCUUGAAAAUGCAAGCAUGCAGUCAUGGUUUUUAUUUCAGUAUAGACUUGGAUGAGGAGUCUAGGUUAAGGAAUGUGUUUUGGGUGGAUAAUAGAUGCAGGUAAGCAUAUAAAGAAUUUGAUGAUGUAGUUACUUUUGACACCACUUAUCUGACUAACAAGUACGAUAUGCCGUUCGCUCCUUUCGUAGGGAUGAAUCACCAUGGGCAAUCAACUUUAUUUGGUUGUGGAUUAGUUUCGAAUGAAGAUACAAAUACAUUUGUUUGGUUAUUUAAGACAUGGCUUGAGUGCAUGUGGGGUCAAGUUCCUGGUGGUAUAAUUACAAAUCAAGAUCGUGCUAUGCAAAAUGCAAUUGCAAUUGUAUUCCCCAAUACUAAGCAUAGAUGGUGUUUAUGGCAUAUUCUAAAGAAAUUGCCAAAGAAGUUCGACGGUCAUCCCGAAAAGGGUGCAAUACUGUAUGUCAUUCACGGUUUAGUGUACGAUACAUUAGUUUGUGAGGAGUUUGAAGAAGGUUGGUCGAACAUGCUUGCACAUUUUCAUUUGCAAGAUAAUGAUUGGUUGAACGGACUUUAUGAGAACCGAAGUCGUUGGGUACCAUGCUAUUUGAGAACUACAUUCUGGGCGGGUAUGUCAACCACCCAACGAAGUGAGAGUAUGAACGCAUUCUCCGAUGGCUAUGUGCGCUCAAAGACAUCUUUAAAGCUAUUUGUGGAGCAAUACGAAUGGGCUCUGAGAAGUAAAGUUGAAAAAGAAUUUCAAGCUGAUUUUAGAUCAUUCUCACAAAUGAUUCCUUGUGCUACUAAGUAUGAGAUGGAAAAGCAAUUUCAAGAAGUUUAUACAAUCUCGAAAUUCAAGGAGUUUCAAAAAGAAUUCACCGAAAAGGUUUACUGUGAAGUACUAUCCGUGAAAGAGUUAUGCUGGAUAGCGAAGUACGAGGUUCGUGAAGAUAUCAUCCUUGAGGAAGGGAGGAAGACAAAAAUAUUUACAGUUUCUUUUUGUAAAAACAAUUGCGGGAUUGUGUGUAACUGUCAUUUGUUUGAGUUUCGAGGCAUUGUUUGCAAACACGCGGUCUCAGUUUUAAUUCGGAAUGAGGUGUCGGUACUUCCGGAAAAGUACAUUUUAUGAAGAAGGAGGAGAGACAUGAGUAGACCUUACACGAGGGUGGUAACAACGUAUGAUGGUUUGGUGAGUACUCAUGAGCAGUUGUGUGCUGCUCUAACUAAGAUAGCUGACUUGGUUGCAAUUGAUGAAGACCGUUCGAAGCAGUUAAUGGAGUGGGUUGAAUUGCAGACGAAUGAAUUGUUAAAAUCGAAACAUAAUCACUUGGCCGCACAUGGACUUGGAGGAGGAAAUGUAGAAAGCUUCAACAUUUUCGAUCCGAAGUGUGCAAAACGUAAAGGCGCUCCAAAGAAACUUCGUAUGAAAAGUUUGUUGGAGUCGUAAUAAGGUAUG